AAAGAAAAAGAGAGAGAGAGAGGGAGAGAGAAGAAAAGAGAGAAAAUUUUUUAGAAAUAAAUAAUGCCUUUUCGAUCUUUUUCUUUUUCUAUUAUUCUUUCCUCUCUCUUUCCCUCUCUCUCCCUCCCCCUCUCUCUCUUAUAAUA